UGAGUACGAGAUGCUACGGCAUCGAAGCAGUCUAUGUCAUACUUCCAAGAAAAGCUUGCAAUGUCACAAACAAAUAAUGCCUGUACCAUAACCGACACAGGUGGGUAGGUAGAGUAUACUAAGGGGCGCGAGAUAACUCUCUCUAAGGAACUCGGCAAAAUGACUCCGUAACUUCGGGAGAAGGAGUGCCUUAUUUUUAUAAGGUUGCAAUAACAAGAUCCAAGCAACUGUUUACCAAAAACACAGGUCUCCGCUAAGUCGUAAGACGAUGUAUGGGGGCUGACGCCUGCCCAGUGCCAGAAGGUUAAAGAAGUUGGUUAGCAUUAGCGAAGCUGAUAACUGAAGCCCUGGUGAACGGCGGCCGUAACAAUAACGGUCCUAAGGUAGCGAAAUUCCUUGUCGGGUAAGUUCCGACCCGCACGAAAGGCGUAAUGAUUUGGAUACUGUCUCGGAGAGGGGCUCGGUGAAAUAGACUUGUCUGUGAAGAUGCGGACUACCUGCACCUGGACAGAAAGACCCUAUGAAGCUUUACUGUAACUUGAGAUUGAAAUUGGACUUUAUCUGCGCAGUAUAGGUGGGAGACGUUGAAAAUAUUCUUGCGGGAAUAUUGGAGUCAUCAGUGAGAUACCACUCUUAUAAUGUUAGAUUUCUAACUUUGUAUUAUUAUCUGGUCAAAGAACAGUUUCAGGCGGGCAGUUUGACUGGGGCGGUCGCCUCCCAAACGGUAACGGAGGCGCACAAAGGUUUCCUCUGAACGUGUAGAAAUCGUAUCUAGAGUGUAAAGGCAUAAGGAAGCUUGACUGUGAGACCUACAAGUCGAGCAGGGACGAAAGUCGGUCUUAGUGAUCUGACGGUGCUGAGUGGAAAGGCCGUCACUCAACGGAUAAAAGUUACUCUAGGAUAACAGGCUGAUCUCCCCCAAGAGUUCACAUCGACGGGGAGGUUUGGCACCUCGAUGUCGGCUCAUCGCAUCCUGGGGCGGUAGUACGUCCCAAGGGUUGGGCUGUUCGCCCAUGAAAGCGGUACGCGAGCUGGGUUCAGAACGUCGUGAGACAGUUCGGUCCAUAUCCGGUGUAGGCGUUAGAAUAUUGAGAGGAGCCUUCUUAGUACGAGAGGACCGAGAAGGACAUACCUCUGGUGUACCAGUUAUCGUGCCAACGGUAAACGCUGGGUAGCCAUGUAUGGAGAGGAUAACCGCUGAAAGCAUCUGAGUGGGAAGCCCACCUCAAGAUAAGUAUUCUC
rnacentral:rRNA from 1 species